UUCAAUCCAAAGUUUGACAUUGAGUAAAAUAAAGACACUACCAGAACAAAGUUAUUAUAAAAAUGAAAAAUUGAUUUGAGAGAGAUUACCCCAACUCAAUACAUCUUUUACGGGUGUGGUAGACUUGGGUAGUUGUGUUUUAAUCAAAGGUUUACAACUUUUUUUCAAAAAAUUAUACGAGGUGAGUUUCCCUUUUUUCUACAAGAAAUUACAGGAGAAGAGUUUGUAGUUUUCUCCAUAGUAAUAGUAGGUUGACACGCCUACGUGUUACCUACACUCAUUUGACACGGUCCAGGUAAGUUUUUUGAAAAAAAAAAUUGUUCAGUAGACGUGGGUAAAAGGGGAAAAAGAAAAAUAUGGCUUUCGGUCUUCUUUUGCUCCUCUUUCAAAAAUCACAUUUAGGUUUUCUUUCUUUCAAGACGCAUUGUUCUUCAUCAUUCUUCGUCGGUGCUCUUCUUCAUCGUCUUUCAUUGGCACCCUUGAGCUGCUUCAAUCGGUGGUGUGUUUGAGUUAGGCUUCUAAUCGCUGCAUUCUCUGUUUUUACAAGCUGAUUUUCUUUGGAAGGUAAUAACAGAGAAAUAAUUUUAUUUAAUCUUUGGUCUUUGAGUGAGAAACUGCAUUACCUUGAGUCCUUGGUACCUUCCAAGCAUGAGAAUGGUGGCCAAUGGGUUUGUGCCAGGUGACAAAGUAAGAUGUAAAAAUGUAUAGUGGUUGAACUUGAGAUGACAAAGUCUCUUCUCUCAAGUCAUUAGACACACCUACAAAAACAAUCAUUUCUUAGAAUAUAAAAGUCAGGUAUUUUGAUUGUUCAAAAUCAUUAUUCUAUACACUGAUGUCUAUCUUUGGUCCAUAGAAUGCUUCAUCCCCUUCAUUCAACUACAAGGUUUUACACAAAUAUAAGCACAAAGAUAGUAAAGCUUACAAAUGUCAUAUUCCACAGAAAAUAAUAAAACAUUAUGAAAAUAAAAAAUGGAGUGUGUAGGUGUGAGUGAAAAACCUUCACCCAUAUCAACAUAAAGAUGAAGAGAACAAAUGGGUGUUGUCAUAAACAAAAUGAAACUGCCAACAUAAGCAAAUUAGAUGAUAUAAUGCAAAAAGGAAUCAAGGGCGGACUGGAGGAAUGAGCCUGUAGUAGAGCAUUUCGUGUUUUCAAAACUAAAUCAAAAACAAAACUCUCUGUCUCACGCCCUUGCCCCUUUACUCUAGGGUUUUCGAAAAUGAACAAAAAAGAAAACGAAAGAUAGAGAAAUGAUGAGAAAAGAAGAAAUGAAUUGAAAGGGGACAAAC
rnacentral:lncRNA from 1 species